AAAUUUUGGGUUCAUUUUGGAUGCAAAAGUGGAGCUCAAGAACAGUCUUCUACCUUUAAGUGGGAGUGUCGCUUCUCACGUGGUAGCAGUAAGAAAUCCUGACUCACAGAAAUGCAUUUUCAGAAGUUCAGGUGAGGCCCCGGGAUUUAGUUCAGUGGUUUCGCUGCCUGCUGCGCAAGUAAAAGGACCCAAGUUCGAUCUCCAGUAUCAAAAAAAAGAAGUUCAGGUGAAUUUCAUGAAGUCCCCUCAGGGCUAGUCUAUUACUGCUUUCAAUUCCCCCCUACUAUGCAGAUUUUCCCAAUCCCAACCCAAAGAUGGGACAACAGUCUCCAGUCCCUGGAACCAUAGACUUGUGAGAAUGCCUGUCCAGGAUUUCAGGUUCUCAGCUGCCUUUUCCAGAACCCACUGAUCCCUGAGUGAAAAUGGCCCUAAAUGUCAGGCUAACAUUCCUCAGUUCCUAUUUUCCUUUGAUGGUUGGCUUCACGAUAUUUUACUGCUAAAGGACCACUCUCAUGCCAUUAACCAGACUUUCUUUCUCUCUUUUCUUUUUUAAUCUGGUAUCCCAUAGGAGAACAAGUCCCCAUCAUUUCUUUUUCUAAUGCUGGGGAUGGAACUCAGGACCUCACACAUGCCAGACAAGUGAGUUCUCUAUCGCUGAGUUACAAUGC
ensembl:lncRNA